rnacentral:rRNA from 1 species
UACAGAGGUGCCAAGCGUUGUUCGGAUUUAUUGGGCGUAAAGGGUGCGUAGGCGGUCAUGUAAGUUGGAUGUGAAAUCCCGGAGCCUAACUCCGGAAUGGCAUUCAAAACUGCAUGGCUCGAGGUCUGGAGAGGUGACUGGAAUUCUCGGUGUAGCAGUGAAAUGCGUAGAUAUCGAGAGGAACACCAGAGGCGAAAGCGAGUCACUGGACAGAACCUGACGCUGAGGCACGAAAGCUAGGGGAGCAAACGGG